rnacentral:rRNA from 1 species
UACGUAGGUGGCAAGCGUUGUCCGGAUUUAUUGGGUUUAAAGGGUGCGUAGGCGGCUUUGUAAGUCAGUGGUGAAAUAUGGCAGCUCAACUGUCAAGGUGCCAUUGAUACUGCGGAGCUUGAGUACAGAUGAGGUAGGCGGAAUUGACGGUGUAGCGGUGAAAUGCUUAGAUAUCGUCAAGAACACCUACAGCGAAGGCAGCUUACUAGGCUGUAACUGACGCUGAG